rnacentral:rRNA from 1 species
AUCGUUUAUCUUUAGCUGCUUGAGAGAGUGGACAGUCACAUUGGAUCUGAAACAGCAUCCAACUACCGAAGUGGUAGCAGCAGUAAGGAAUCUUGACAAUGUGCUAACGCACGAUCCAGUGUUGCUUUAGAGGUGAAGAAGGUCCAAGAGAUUGUAAAAUCGUUGUAAUUAAAAAAACAUAGCGCUGCUAUACUGUUUUGAUUAUAGAAGCUCCGACUAACCUCGUGCCAGCAGUCGCGGUAAUACGAGGGGAGCAAGUGUUAUUCGUACUGAUUGGGCGUAAAGGGUACGUAGGCGGUUAAUUAAGUUUAAAAUUAAAAACUGAAGCUCAACUUCUUUAAAAUUUUUUAAAACUAAUUAACUUUGAGUUAUAAAGAGGAUAGUGGGACUCUUAGUGUAGAGAUAAAAUUCAAUCAUAUUAAGGAUACUAACCUAGCGAAAGCGACUUUCCAUUUAUAACUGACGCUGAGGUACAAAAGUAUGGGGAGCAAAUAGGAUUAGAGACCCUAGUAGUCCAUACCGUGACCGAUGAGUAUUGAAUUUUUAAAAUAAUUUUUAAAAUUAUUUUUUUAUUCAAGCUAACGCGUAAAUACUCCGCCUGGGGACUAAGGCCGCAAGGUUAAAACUCAAAGGAAUUGACGGAGAUCAGACCAAGUAGUGGAACAUGUGGUUUAAUCCGAUAAUCCGCGUAAAACCUUACAAUUCUAGUUUAUAUUUAGAGAUAUAUAAUAUUAUAUUGCUAACUUUUGAUUCAAUUUUAAUUAUUGUUUCAAAUAAAAUAUAAUCAGGUGUUGCAUGGCUGUCGUCAGUCCGUGUCGUGAGAUGUCUGGUUAAAUCCGGUAACGGACGUGACCCUCGGACUAAUUUUUUAUUCUAAUUUAGUCGAAAGGUAAUGUAAAAUUACAGGAAGGUGAGGACAACGACAAGUCGUUAUGCCUUUAUGAAUUGGGCUACACAUGUGUUACAAUGGUAAUAACAAUGAGAUGCAAAAACGCAAGUUUUAGCUAAUCUUUAAAAAGAAAUCGUAGUUCGGAUUAUUCUCUGCAACUCGGGAAUAUGAAGAUGGAAUUACUAGUAAUCGUAUAUCAGCACGAUACGGUGAAUUAGGAAACUGAUCUUGUACACACCGCCCGUCACGCCACGGAAGCAGGCUUUCUAUUAAAUAUCCAAUUU